AUGGCCUCCGUCUUUUCUUCCUCGCGCGCCCGCGACCAGGGCCCUCGUCAUCAAGUUCGCCUGCGUGCUAUCUCUUGCUCCUUCGACCUUGCCUUGCUCUGCGACCAGCGCCAUCGCCCACUGCUUCCUGCGUUGAGGAGCCCCGCCAGCCAAGUCCCUGUGUUCGCCUCCUGCCCGAGCCGUCCUCUUCAGACAAGUCCACGGCCGCCGCUUCACCAGGGACGCCGGGCGCCACCAGCAGCAGUUCUAGUUGGCCCCGCCGCCAAGUCCCGUCGCCGGAGCUCGCCUUCGUCCCGUCUCCGGCGGGUUCAGGCCCUUUGUCGUGCCUUGCUUCCCGCAGCUGACCGUGACCAGCCGUAG
rnacentral:rRNA from 1 species